CGAACUUCACCCUGGUCUGUUUGCUAAGCACACAGUGUUCACAAAAGUUCAUAGAUUCUAUUUUAUGCCUGUCCAAUAAAUCUCGCUUGUUCAACACAGAUAAUCCUUUUUCGCUCCCUGAAACUGUACUGUCCCGAAAAAAUACAAUCCUGAAAUCAAACCGCUCUUCAUGAGUACCAUAGAGCCUUUGCACACUUUGAG
rnacentral:misc_RNA from 1 species